rnacentral:rRNA from 1 species
GUAAGGAAUAUUGGACAAUGGACGCAAGUCUGAUCCAGCCAUGCCGCGUGAAGGAUUAAGGUCCUCUGGAUUGUAAACUUCUUUUAUAAGGGACGAAAAAAGGCUUUUCUAAGUCGUCUGACGGUACCUUAUGAAUAAGCACCGGCUAACUCCGUGCCAGCAGCCGCGGUAAUACGGAGGGUGCAAGCGUUAUCCGGAUUCACUGGGUUUAAAGGGUGCGUAGGCGGGCAGGUAAGUCAGUGGUGAAAUCCUAGAGCUUAACUCUAGAACUGCCAUUGAUACUAUCUGUUUUGAAUAUUGUGGAGGUAAGCGGAAUAUGUCAUGUAGCGGUGAAAUGCUUAGAUAUGACAUAGAACACCUAUUGCGAAGGCAGCUUACUACGCAUAUAUUGACGCUGAGGCACGAAAGCGUGGGGAUCAAACAGGAUUAGAAACCCCGGUAGUCC